AUUGAACGCUGGCGGCAUGCCUAACACAUGCAAGUCGAGCGGAGCGGCGGACGGGCGCGUAAGGCCUAGGAAUCUGCCUGGCCGUGGGGGAUAACGUACGGGAACGGGAGCUAAUAUAGCAUACUUGCAGCUGACCCUAGGUGGGAUUAGCUAGUUGGUGGGGUAAAGGCCUACCAAGGCGACGAACCGUAACUGGUCUGAGAGGAUGAUCAGUCACACUGGAACUGAGACACGGUCCAGACUCCUACGGGAGGCAGCAGUGGGGAAUAGUGGGCAAUGGGCGAAAGCCGGACCCAGCCAUGCCGCGUGUGUGAAGAAGGUCUUCGGAUUGUAAAACACUGUAAGUAGGGAGGCGUUACCAACAGAGAAAGCAACGGCUAACUACGUGCCAGCCGCCGCGGUAAUUC
rnacentral:rRNA from 1 species